UAAUUAAACAAUGACCAAAGACAGUAGGGAACAAUAGUUUUAAAAAACCUACCGAGGUAUGCAAAUUUUAUUUACUUAUGAAAUUUCUAUCUCACUUUGUCUUGGUGAGAUUUUUUUAUA
rnacentral:sRNA from 1 species